rnacentral:lncRNA from 1 species
AUGGAAACUACCACGCGCUCUCAUUAUCAGUACCUUAUCAAAGUGUUGCCAUGCCAAAUCCUGGAGAAAAUUGUACUCAGUGUAGAGAAUUUUCUAGCUGUAGGACCAGCUGGCUCUAAGCAUGGAAAGGGAGCCAUAAGCAGGAGUUGCUGGUUAUCCGAUACAGCCCAGUUUCAGUGUCCCUGCAUCCCUGCUGCUGCUGUCAUCAGCAGUCCCAGCCGAGAAGCUCUGGAGCUGAAGAGCUGUGGGGAUUUAUCCCGCCAGUUGGUCUAAUCAGCUCCCAAAAUUGAGUUAUCAUGGGAAGCUGUGCAGUGAAA